GCCUGAUCCAGCCAUGCCGCGUGUGUGAAGAAGGCCUUAGGGUUGUAAAGCACUUUCAUUGGGGAGAAAGGCUGUUUGGUUAAUACCCAAGCAGAUUGAUGUUACCCAAAGAAGAAGGACCGGCUAACUCCGUGCCAGCAGCCGCGGUAAUACGGAGGGUCCAAGCGUUAAUCGGAAUUACUGGGCGUAAAGCGUGCGCAGGCGGUUUUGUAAGACAGAUGUGAAAUCCCCGGGCUUAACCUGGGAACUGCGUUUUGUGACUGCAAGGCUAGAGUACGGCAGAGGGGGGUGGGAAUUCCUGGUGUAGCAGUGAAAUGCGUAGAGAUCAGGAGGAACACCGAUGGCGAAGGCAGCCCCCUCGGGCCUGUACUGACGCUCAUGCACGAAAGCGUGGGGAGCAAACAGGAUUAGAUACCCUGGUAGUCCACGCCCUAAACGAUGUCGACUAGUCGUUCGGAGCAGCAAUGCACUGAGUGACGCAGCUAACGCGUGAAGUCGACCGCCGUGGGGAGGUACGGCCGCAA
rnacentral:rRNA from 1 species